UACGUAGGCAGCGAGCGUUGUUCGGAGUUACUGGGCGUAAAGGGUGUGUAGGCGGUUGUUUAAGUUUGGUGUGAAAUCUCCCGGCUCAACUGGGAGGGUGCGCCGAAUACUGAAUGACUUGGAGUGCGGGAGAGGUGAGUGGAAUUCCUGGUGUAGCGGUGGAAUGCGCAGAUAUCAGGAGGAACACCAAUAGCGAAGGCAGCUCGCUGGGACGUUACUGACACUGAGGCGCGAAAGCGUGGGGAGCGAACAGG
rnacentral:rRNA from 1 species